rnacentral:rRNA from 1 species
UGGGGAAUAUUGGACAAUGGGGGCAACCCUGAUCCAGCCAUGCCGCGUGCGUGAAGAAGGCCUUAGGGUUGUAAAGCGCUUUCAGCGGGGACGAUGAUGACGGUACCCGCAGAAGAAGCCCCGGCUAACUCCGUGCCAGCAGCCGCGGUAAUACGGAGGGGGCAAGCGUUGUUCGGAAUUACUGGGCGUAAAGGGCGCGUAGGCGGCAUAUCAAGUCAGAGGUGAAAGCCCCGGGCUCAACCUGGGAAUUGCCUUUGAAACUGGUAGUCUUGAGUUCGAGAGAGGUGAGUGGAACUCCGAGUGUAGAGGUGAAAUUCGUAGAUAUUCGGAAGAACACCAGUGGCGAAGGCGGCUCACUGGCUCGAUACUGACGCUGAGGUGCGAAAGCGUGGGGAGCAAACAGGAUUAGAUACCCCCGUAGUCC